rnacentral:rRNA from 1 species
UACGAGGGAUGCAAGCGUUAUCCGGAAUUAUUGGGCGUAAAGCGUUUGUAGGCGGGCGAGUGUGUUUAAUGUUAAAUCUUAAAGCUCAACUUUGAAAUUGCGUUAAAAACUGCUUGUCUUGAGUAUGGUAGGGGUAAAGGGAAUUCCCAGUGUAGCGGUGAAAUGCGUAGAUAUUGGGAAGAACACUAAACAGCGAAGGCACUUUACUAGGCUAAUGCUGACGCUGAGAAACGAAAGAUAAGGUAGCGAAACGGAUUAGAUACCCGUGUAGUCUUACCCGUAAACUAUGGACACUAAACGGUAAAUUUUUAAUUUACUGUUAAAGCUAACGCGUUAAGUGUCCCGCCUGGGGAGUAUGCUUGCAAAAGUGAAACUCAAAGGAAUUGACGGGGGCCCGCACAAGCGGUGGAGCAUGUGGUUUAAUUCGACGGUACACGAAGAACCUUACCAGGAUUUGACAUGCUAGAUAGUUGCUUGAAAGAGUAACGUGCCGUAAGGAAUCUAGACACAGGUGGUGCAUGGCUGUCGUCAGUUCGUGUUGUGAAAUGUUGGGUUAAGUCCCGCAACGAACGCAACCCUUGUCUUUAGUUAUUUUCUAAAGAGACUGCCUGUAAUAAACAGGAGGAAGGUAAGGAUGAGGUCAAGUCAUCAUGCCCCUUAUGUCCUGGGCUACACACGUGCUACAAUGGGAAAGACAAUGAGCUGCAAAUCUGUAAAUUUAAGCAAAUCUCUUAAACUUUCUCGUAGUUCGGAUUGUGGGCUGCAACUCGCCCACAUGAAGUUGGAAUCGCUAGUAAUCGCCAGUCAGCUAUAUGGCGGUGAAUCCGUUCCCGGGCCU